CUUGAGCUACAAAACUCUAAAUGGAGUGAUUCAAAAAGAAAAUUAAAGAAGACACAUAAAUGAACAACUUUGAUUAGGAACAUGUGGCAAAAUUCUCACUAUAGAAUUGCCUAAUAGAACAGUGAACUUUAACACCCAAAACUGAAAUUUUUGAUUUAUUUCCUAUUGGUUUUAAGUAUUGAUUGACAACCAAGGCCAACACUUUUGUGAAUCAAAAUGUGGUAAUUUCAUGUGAUUAAAACUCAUGUAACUAUCAUAUAUGAGAAAGUUAAUAUUUUGACUUAAAUGACCAAAU
rnacentral:misc_RNA from 1 species